rnacentral:rRNA from 1 species
UGGGGGAUAUUGCACAAUGGGCGAAAGCCUGAUGCAGCGACGCCGCGUGGGGGAUGAAGGCUUUCGGGUUGUAAACCUCUUUCGCUAUCGAACAAGGCCCGCUUAGGGUGGGUUGAGGGUAGGUGGAGAAGAAGCGCCGGCUAACUACGUACCAGCAGCCGCGGUAAUACGUAGGGCGCGAGCGUUGUCCGGAAUUAUUGGGCGUAAAGGGCUUGUAGGCGGCUUGUUGCGCCUGCUGUGAAAACGCGGGGCUUAACUUCGCGCGUGCAGUGGGUACGGGCAGGCUUGAGUGUGGUAGGGGUGACUGGAAUUCCAGGUGUAGCGGUGGAAUACGCAGAUAUCUGGAGGAACACCGAUGGCGAAGGCAGGUCACUGGGCCAUUACUGACGCUGAGGAGCGAAAGCAUGGGUAGCGAACAGG